rnacentral:rRNA from 1 species
UACGGAGGGGGCUAGCGUUGUUCGGAAUUACUGGGCGUAAAGCGCACGUAGGCGGCGUUGUAAGUUAGAGGUGAAAGCCUGGAGCUCAACUCCAGAAUUGCCUUUAAGACUGCAUCGCUUGAAUGCAGGAGAGGUGAGUGGAAUUCCGAGUGUAGAGGUGAAAUUCAUAGAUAUUCGGCAGAACACCAGUGGCGAAGGCGGGUCACUGGACUGUUAUUGACGCUGAGGUGCGAAAGCGUGGGGAGCAAACAGG